AUGUGUAAAAUCAUAUUAAUAGAGAUGAAUGACUGUGAUAUAGUGGUGAAAU
rnacentral:guide_RNA from 1 species